rnacentral:SRP_RNA from 1 species
GGAAAAUAAUAGAGAUAAUAGGAAGGCUGAGGCUGGAGGAUGACUUGAGUCCAGGAGUUCUGGGCUGGUAGUGAACUAUGCCAAUUGGGUAUCUGCACUAAGUUAGCAAUGAAUAUGUGUCUUCCUGGGAGCAGGGGUGACCAUCAGGUUGCCUAAGGAGGGGUGAACUGGCCCAGAUCAGAAACAGAACAGGUCAAAAUUCCUGAGCUGAUCAAGAGUGGGAUCAUACCUGUAAAUAGCCACUGCACUCCAGCCUGGGCAACAUAGUGAGACCCUGCCUCU